rnacentral:rRNA from 1 species
GUCUAUGGCCAUGCCACCCUGAACAAGCCUAAUGUCUGAUCUCUGAAGCUAAGCAGGGUCAGGCUUGGUUAGUACUUGGAUGGGAGACCACUUAGGAAGACCAGGUACUGCAGGCA